ACUGGUCACAAAAAAAACUUAACACGUGAGCGUAGAAGACGGAUAUCAUCAAAACUUCACAAUAAAUAUACAGGGAAAAACUUUAAUGAGCAACAUAAAUGGACCUUAAAUGAAGCAAUUCUAGAUCUGUAAUUAUACGAAAAGCUCGUGCGAAGGCGAACAAUGUCAACAAACUCGCCGGAAACUGGAUUAGAAGUCAGAACCUACGAGUUCUAUUAAAUCGGAACCUCGAACUGGGAAACAGUGACGUUACCUCGACAAAUCGACGAUCUCAGCUAGAAGAAGAGAAUGGGGUUACGUCGCUGGUGGACGUGAGACGGACUGCUACUGGAAUGGAGACGGGACUGCUCGGUUGACGGCCGACUGGAGGUGGACGAGCAGCGGCUGGUCGCUGCUGGUUGUUUUCUGGUGGUCGAACGGAAGGGAGCUGGUGGUCUGGGCAGCGACGAAGUGAAGACGAUGAGGAUGAAGCAGCAGCUCG
rnacentral:lncRNA from 1 species